rnacentral:rRNA from 1 species
GUCUAUGGCCAUGCCACCCUGAACAAACCCGAUGUCUGAUCUCGGAAGCUAAGCAGGGUCGGGCCUGGUUAGUAUUUGGAUGGGAGACCACCUAGACCAAAUGCUGUAGGCA